rnacentral:rRNA from 1 species
UGAGUAACCUGCCCUUAACUCUGGGAUAAGCCUGGGAAACUGGGUCUAAUACCGGAUAUGACUCCUCAUCGCAUGGUGGGGGGUGGAAAGCUUUUUUGUGGUUUUGGAUGGACUCGCGGCCUAUCAGCUUGUUGGUGAGGUAAUGGCUCACCAAGGCGACGACGGGUAGCCGGCCUGAGAGGGUGACCCGGCCACACGUGGGACUGAGACACGGCCCAGACUCCGUACGGGAGGCAG